GACGAACGCUGGCGGCGUGCUUAACACAUGCAAGUCGAACGGAAAGGCCCUGCUUUUGUGGGGUGCUCGAGUGGCGAACGGGUGAGUAACACGUGAGUAACCUGCCCUUGACUUUGGGAUAACUUCAGGAAACUGGGGCUAAUACCGGAUAGGAGCUCCUGCUGCAUGGUGGGGGUUGGAAAGUUUCGGCGGUUGGGGAUGGACUCGCGGCUUAUCAGCUUGUUGUGGGGUAGUGGCUUACCAAGGCUUUGACGGGUAGCCGGCCUGAGAGGGUGACCGGCCACAUUGGGACUGAGAUACGGCCCGGACUCCUACGGGAGGCAGCAGUGGGGAAUAUUGCACAAUGGGCGGAAGCCUGAUGCAGCAACGCCGCGUGCGGGAUGACGGCCUUCGGGUUGUAAACCGCUUUCGCCUGUGACGAAGCGUGAGUGACGGUAAUGGGUAAAGAAGCACCGGCUAACUACGUG
rnacentral:rRNA from 1 species